GUGAUAACCUGCUGUGAGUAGAUAAAGAAAAAAUAACAAACUAUCUUUCCAGAUAAGGAAGAAAAUAAUAAGUAUAUCUCGCCUAAUAAGUCAAGACUAACUGUCUGAUUCUUUUUUCUUCUCACGACUUUUUACCUCUAUCUAUAAAUAGAAGCUUAUGGAGGACCAUCAAGGUAUGAAACACUUCUCUCCCUAAGUGCUCAUUCUUUUCCAUCUGUUCUAGAGAUCUAACUUGAGAGUCGAAGAGUCUUCGUCGAAGCCAACUCCGGCCGGCGACUUAUCUUGCAGGUCCUGCCACUGUCGUCCUACCAUCGCCAACCAAUGGUCACCAUCCAACUCCAGCCAGUCCGACCCA
rnacentral:lncRNA from 1 species